GACGUACGUCCCGAGCGUUACCCGGUUUUACUGGGCGUAAAGUGCGCGUAGGCGGCCGGGUAAGUUGUCCGUGAAAGCCCGCGGCUCAACCCCGGGAGGCCGGGCGAGACUGCCGGGCUAGAGGACGGUAGAGGAGGGUGGAGCGUACGGAGUAGCGGUGAAAUGCGUAGAUACCCGCCGAAACCCCGAUGGCGAAGGCGGCUCUCUGGGCCUUUCCUGACGCUGAGGCGCGAAAGCGUGGGGAGCGAACCGG
rnacentral:rRNA from 1 species